rnacentral:rRNA from 1 species
GACGAACGCUGGCGGCGUGCUUAACACAUGCAAGUGGAGCGACGAACCGGGGCUUGCCCCGGGGCAGAGCCGCGAACGGGUGAGUAACACGUGGGUAACCCACCUCGAUGACCGGGACAACCCGAGGAAACUCGGGCUAAUACCGGAUGUGAUCCUCUUCCGCAAGGAAGUUGAUGAAAGAUAGCUUCGGCUUUCGCAUCGAGACGGGCCCGCGGCCCAUUAGCUUGUUGGUGGGGUAACGGCCUACCAAGGCUUCGAUGGGUAGCUGGUCUGAGAGGACGAUCAGCCACACUGGGACUGAGACACGGCCCAGACUCCUACGGGAGGCAGCAGUGGGGAAUCUUGCGCAAUGCGCGAAAGCGUGACGCAGCAACGCCGCGUGGGGGAAGACGGCCUUCGGGUUGUAAACCCCUUUCAGUUGGGACGAAGCUUCGACGGUGAACAGCCGGCUGGAGUGACGGUACCUUCAGAAGAAGCCCCGGCUAACUACGUGCCAGCCGCCGCCGUAACAC